rnacentral:sRNA from 1 species
UAUGAGGGCAAUCUGGCUAUAAUAUGUUACCUCAUUGAUUGCCAGUGGUGAUUCAGCUGAUCUGUCUGGCUAGGCAGGUAUCUCCUUCCUGAUAGAGGAACUGUUCUUCUCAAAGGUAUACCUCCAUCCAAACUUUCAAGAGAGGCUGAAGAAGGUAUAGGUCAGUGAUAAGAGUUCAAGCUUAUCUUGUGUGAUGUCCUGAGUUCCAUUCCCAGCACUGCCCAAAAGACAGUUUAAAGAGCCUACUGAGCCAGGCACCGGUG